rfam:Brachypodium distachyon strain Bd21 chromosome 3, whole genome shotgun sequence.
ACAGUACUCCUUCCAUCCAACAAAAAAUGUGUCAACUUAGUCCAAAUUAAAAUGUAUUUAUACACUAAGUCAUGUCUAAAUACAUCUAAAUUUUAACAAACUUGAGACAUCUUUUGUUGGACGGAGGGAGCACGUA